AAAGAUAUUUCAAGUUUUCUGUUGUUUUUGAGCUAAAAAUCUUAAUAUUUCCAAUUUUCCAUGAUCGCACAUUACUUGUUUUACAACGCGGAGGAAGGAUGCGGUUUGGUUCGCUUGUGGAUGCAGCACUUCACUGCAAAGAAAGACUAAUUCUUUCAGGUAAGAUUCACGAAACUUUUUUUAACUUUCUAGGGACUUGCAUGGUCAUAUCACUCGAGAUAUCAUCACUCAUAUGUCAAAAACUCAUCAUC